CAGAUUUUUUAGUCUGCAUUUGCUCCUCUCUGCUCUCUUUCACAAAAGUCUACUUCUUCUUGUCGGAUUCUAACUUUCUCGCAUUAAAAGUCGUACAAAAUUUGAUCAAAGAAAAAGCCCACAAAAUUUUCAACUUUCAAUCGGCCUCUCUCUUCAAUUUUUCAAAUAUGUCAGUUCGACAAGCACCAAAAAGGCCAGAUUCUUUAACUACUUGGUUCUUCUCCUAUACAAAGCUAAGGUUCUUCAGUCGCAUGCGGCAGUUCCUCCACCUCAAGGCGGCCAAGAAGCAUAACAAACUGCUGGAA
rnacentral:lncRNA from 1 species